GUCGCUUGAAGAAAGAGUUUAUUCUUUCCUAAAAAGUAUUUCCCCUAGGGAGAGUAUGGCUCCUCCCCCUGCCCUUCCUUGAGUUGGUACAGCCCGCAUUCCAGGGGAUUGGGCGGGGCUAAAAGGGCGGGGAAGAAGUCGGGCCAGGGCCUGGUACGCAUGCGCGCGGGGAACUGGGCCUGAUGACCUUGUAAGGAAAUCGAGGCGCCUUUCCUGUUUGGCGGGUGGGAGCGGCCCUUGAUGACGUCUCGGUUCUCGGUGACGUCGUGCAUUCGAACGCUUCUUUCUGUCAUUUGCAGAUUAAGCGCCUGGGAUCAUCUGAUGAUUAGUACAGGGCUGAUGUCUCGCCAACCUACAACUCUCUAGAUUCAAUAACAUUGGGCCAUGGCAGCUGAAGUGGUGUCAAACUGCAUUAAAUCUACAGUGUAGAUGCACCCCGGGACCAGAAGAGUUUUGGAUUUUGGAAAAGAAGGCGUGAAUGGGAAUGGAUCUGGGCAUUGUGAAGUAACAGUCUGGAAAAGAGAAAUGGUUAUUCUCUGAUACAUCGAUUGAUGACCACUUGAAGUAACUGGAAAAUAAGUGUGCUUAUCCCCAAUCAGACAAUAAACAAUUUUUCUCUAUUUCUUCCCCAGCCCCUUUUGUUUGUUGGAGAUAGCAACCUUCUCUAACCUUCUCUAUCUAAUGUUUUGUCUGUUUAUAAUGUGCUGUUUAUUUCCUGAAGUGUAUGGUUAGCAGUUUUCCUAGCUCUGUGUACUUAAGACAGUGGGAAAGGCUGCAGACUAUGUGACUGGUUCAGUGACUGUUUAGAAUGCAGUUAACAAAGGAUGACAGUUUGAAAUAUGAUAGUUGAGGCUUAUGUCUGAGUACAGAAGCCAGUAUUAAAAGGUAGAAGUCAGUUGAGGCUUGAGUUUCUUUGGAACUAGAACGUUAUAAAAAAGAGCUAUACAGAGCAAUAUAGUUUUAAAGAGACUGUUAAAGGCUAUAAGUUAAAGAUACAAACUGAAACUUUUUAAAAGCUUAACCUGACAAGAAAUGUACUUGUAUAUGUAAAUACAUGAAGUUGUGAGUAAAACAAACUUGUUAUGUAAA